rnacentral:pre_miRNA from 1 species
CCCAGUUCCGGACACUCGCAGGUUUUUGCUUCGGUGAUAUUCGAAGAGCCGUUAUCACCGGGUGAAAAUUUGCAAGUGUCCGGUAACUGG